GGGGUGUUUCAGAUUAAGGGAAGGCAGGGAUUCCUCCCUUAAGGGAUUUGCUGUUUGAAUUUGGAUACAGCACCCAUUAGGACCAAUGAAGUGAUAAUACAAAUGCAGGACAAGAUCCAGAGACACAUAGGAACACAUCUCAAGCUGAGAGGAAGGAUGUCGCACAGCUCUGGUUUGGGCCACUUGAGGAAGGGGACAUGGAGAGGAAACAUGGGGUCAUGGCUUAAAAAUAAGAUCUAUAUUCCUGUCUCAGUUCUGGCCUGGAUUUACUAUAUGAACGGGGCCAGGCUACUUCACCUUUCUGAGUCCCAGAUUUGUUACAUGUUGAAUAGAGGAAGUUGGGCAGAUGGCUUCUAAGACUCCUUCAGGCUCUGACACCCGAGUGUAUGAAUGAGAAUGAUUAGUAAGGCUCUUUUCAGUUGCCGGUAACAGAAAUCCAACUUCAACCAGCUUAAUCAAAAAGGGGGGCAUUUAUUGGAGUAAUUGUGAAGGCCAAGGGAGUUCUACGAUCAGGUUUGGAUGGAUCCAGGAGCUGCCAGAGGUUCCUUGAGCUCGGUCUCCCUCCUGCUCCACAAUGGUUUGUGCUUUCUUCUCCCUGUGCUGGCUUGUCUCUCCAUCACGGGGAGACAGUCUUUUUUUGAUAGUCCCUAGUGGCUCAGCCCCAUCUAAACCAAAGGGAAUGGGUUUCUUCCAGAAGAGAAAGUUUCAGGUACCAGCUGAGUCGAAAGGAGAUAGGAUUGAUGGCAGUUUAAAGUGACUGAUGAUCUCCACAUGGGCCUUGAGUGCAUUUUGGGUUCAGAUAGAGGUGGAGAAGGGGAGGAGCAUCCCUGCAGGAGGGCAGCAGAGUUGUACCUAUGGCACAGGCCUGACUGGAACCUUUGUGGGGCCCAAGACAAGAGCCCAAAUAGAGGCCACAGGCCAUAUGGCUAAAUAUUAAAGAGUCUUAACUCCCACUAUCAAUCUGUUAAACACACCUCUCUGCUCAUCUGGACGCAUGGGCCUUCAUAAUGACCUGAAGGCAGGUUCCUGUUCAGAAUUUUCACCAUCUUUGGAAUUUUGCACUGGGGUGAGAUGGAGCAGAGGAAGCCUGUAGCCUUUCACUUUCUCUUUUCACCCCUGACUCCCUCCCACAUCGAAUAGACACCUCAGCACACACACAUCCAAAGUCUGAAUCCUUGCAAAUGGCUGGCCUGGAGUGCACAUGCUGACCCUCCCUAUUCACCUUCAGGGGAUUGCCUGGAAAGAGGCCUGUGCAGGCUGUGGAAGGAGGCUGGGGCUGUCUGAGCAGUGAAUUCUGCAGCUCCAGAUGUUGAAACGUGGCACUGAGAUAGGCUAAGACCUGAGAUUCUCUACUUGUGUGCUUGCACUUGGACAAACGUCUCCUCAAACAACAAUACAAAAGAAUCUAUAAGGGACUACAAAUAACUGCACGCAUGCGCAGUCCAGGCAAUUAUGAACAAUAAGAUACAAAAAGGCCAUAGACGAACUCCCAUUUCUGAGAUGCGGGGAGCAAAAGCAGGGUGCUGUGUGUGAUCCCUGCGCUCAGCACCACCAAGGGGGUGGGAGACCACCUAAGCCGCCCCUUCACCUGACCCAGACCCACUGAUUCACCCCACCUUUAUGCCACUUAAGGAAGGAGGCCGCCCUCCUCAGAGAGUGGAGAGCAAGCAAGGGCGCCUGUUGCCUGUUUUUGACCCAUCUGCAGCAUGAGUCCCAGGAAAGCCGAGCCUGAAUUUCUUGUCUGGCCUCUUAUCAAUUGCUAUUGACUAAAGAGCCCAAGGACCUGGAGACUUGGUAUUCCUGCUGCUGCUGCUGCUAAGUCGUUUCAGUCGUGUCUGACUCUGUGCGACCCCAUAGAUGCCAGCCCACCAGGCUCCCCCGUCCCUGGGAUUCUCCAGGCAAGAACACUGGAGUGGGUUGCCGUUUCCUUCUCCAAUGCAUGAAAGUGAAAAGUGAAAGUGAAAUCGCUCAGCUGUGUCCUACCCUUAGCGACCCCAUGGACUGCAGCCCACCAGGCUCCUCCAUCCAUGAGAUUCUCCAGGCAAGAGUACUGGAGUGGGGUGCCGUCACCUUCUCCGUGGUAUACCCACACUCACCUUUAAAAACAUGUUUAGAAUCCGACUGCUUUCACAACCUCUAUUGUGACCCGCCUGAGACCAGCAGUUGCCAUCUUUGUUCACCUGGAUUGUAAUCAGGCCUCUCUUAAUUGGCCCCCCUCCCCUCUCAAUCUAUUUUCAACUCAGCAGCCUGUUAAAUGCUAAAUCAUGUCAUGGAUGAUGGUUUCCCAGCUCAAAAGGAGUGUCAGAGUC
ensembl:lncRNA